rnacentral:rRNA from 1 species
UACUGGAGGCAGCAGUGGGGAAUAUUGCACAAUGGGCGAAAGCCUGAUGCAGCUAUGCCGCGUGUAUGAAGAAGGCCUUAGGGUUGUAAAGUACUUUCAUCGGGGAGGAAAAACAAAACUAAUAAUUUUAUUUCUUGACGUUACCCGAAAAAGAAGCACCGGCUAACUCCGUGCCAGCAGCCGCGGUAAUACGGAGGGUGCUAGCGUUAAUCAGAAUUACUGGGCGUAAAGAGCACGUAGGUGGUUUUUUUAAGUCAGAUGUGAAAUCCCUGGGCUUAACCUGGAACUGCAUUUUGAAACUGAAAUACUAGAGUAUCGUAGAGGGAGGUAGAAUUCUAGGUGUAGCGGUGAAAUGCGUAGAUAUCUGGAGGAAUACCUGUGGCGAAAGCGGCCUCCUAAACGAAUACUGACACUGAGGUGCGAAAGCGUGGGGAGCAAACAGGGAUUAGAUACC